CCCACUAGUGUUCGUGUCCAGUGUCCCGAAGAAAGUGGUGCUUUGCCUAUUUUAAUACUUUUGUAGUCACCAAAGCCUUCUAUAUUAGCUUAAGUCUAAAACAGAAUGGUUGAAAGAACAAAUGAAUGAAAUGUUUAUCACGUUUUUCAGGCAGGCUCGCUGGGAGGGCAGGAGUGUAAGUGUGGUGAGUGGGCAGGGGUCUCGACCGGAAGCCUAAGCUCGGCGGACCGGGCGGGGACGGAAGUGGGGCGGACCCCGAGGCGGAAGCGGGGCGGCGGCGCGGACCCCCGGCUGCUGUGGGGACGGCGGCUGGCCGGCGCCGCUCGCUCCAGCACCUGUUGACGUUCCUGGGGAAGAAGCUGAGGUCCAGGCCCUGGAGCCAGCGCAGAACCGACCGAGACAGGCGGGAGCUCCUCGGGGCGUGCGGAUAGACCAGGUUCAGCCUUGUGGAGCUGGAACUGGGCACUGGAGUUUGCCUUUGCCAAGAGUUUUUAUUCAAUUCUGCCAAUGGGGAGAACUAGAGAGAGGCCAGAAGGUGAGGGGACAGGAGAGGGAUUUGGGUGUCAUCACAGCCACAAAGCUCAGCUGGCAGUGGCAGGUGGUUCCAGGCUCCAACACUCUUUAGCACCCUGGAGGUUUCAUCACACUCCCUCAGAGGUUUCAGCAACUGCUGACAAGUGGCCCCCUCCGAUUCCCAGCCCCAGGUUCUACCCGAGGACCGCCCCUGGGCGCUGUGUGCUCUCGCCUCCCUAGUUAGUCUGUAGGGCUUUUCCUCCAAGGUUCAGGCUUGGGUAACCCUGGCUUCUUAAAUUUGUUCUCCAGCACUGGGCAAGGGGAGUGGGGGUGGCGGGGGCAUUGCUGCCUGAAUGGUCUGUUGAUCUGAUGGUCUCGUUCUAGUUUUUCGGUUCCUCAGCACCUGUGUAACCGUUUCCUUAUAUUAAAUUCUUGUUGCUGAAUCUAUGGAGUGGCUUCUGUUCUGCUGGGUGCUGGGUGAUACCUUGCUUCAUGCCUGGAGGGAGGCUUCGCUCGCACUAGCCCAUCUACGUCCUGCUGGGCAUCCAAGGAUCUUGCUACUCUGUGCCCCAGAGCCAGUCAGCGUUGGGCCAGAGGGCAGACUGUGCGAUGGCGAGAUGCCCCAAACCUCUGUUGGUCUGAAUUUGAGCGCACUACUCAGAACGGGAAGAAACCUAUCAUUUCAAACAUGAGAAAACUGAGAUCUGUGGAGCUUAAGUGACUCAUAGGAAGUCCAAGAGCAGGUAGAGAGGUAAUAACUCCCCUGAAUCUUCUGAAUACAUUUUCUUCCAUCAAUCUUCAAAACUCCUGAGGAUAAUUAUUUAGGUUUCUAUGAGAGAGGGGCAAACCUUAAAAGAAACUAAUUGUAAAUGAUAGUAAGAAUAAGAAAGUAGAGAAGUUAGAGUAAAAAGUGAGAAUAAUCCAAUGGAGAGGAUAAUUUUUUAAGUACUUUUGUAAACCAGUAGCUACAGUCGGUUUGGUUCAAGGCUGUCAAGGAGCAAUGAACACACAAUAGCUCCAGUUAGACGCUUUUUUCCAAAGAGGCCACCUUUUACCUUUUCACACACUGUUUCAUUUAUUUUCUCAGAAACAUCAAAUAUACUCUGUAGGUAAAACAACAACAGAAAUUACUUUUUCCUACAAGAUAAAUGUUUCAGCAGUGACUUCCUGCAGUAAUUAUUUCACUAUGUUUCUUAAUCUUAUGGCAAAUAGUUGGGGUUCCUUCUCUUUGUCUUUAUGGAAUUUUGUCUUUGAACCUUUAUAUACAUAUAUAUAAUAAGAUUUGGAUUAGAGGACAUUCGCAGUAUCUAUUUUCAAUCUGCAUUACUCUAUCUAGUCUUAAUGUCCAUGAUGCAGUGAUUGGAAAACUGGUGGUAAAAAAAAUUAGUGCAAUUGAGUCAUAUUCUCCAUUACCUUCCAUUAUAAAAUCAAAUACUAAUUUGAACAGAAAAAAAAUGUUUUAUUUCAGGGAUAAUAAUCACACUUUAAUAUAUUAACAAACAUACGAUAUAUUUAAAUUAGAACACUUCUGCGUUAAGAAUCAUGCUCAAGCUAUGAUAAAAGUUACCAGCGUACAAAAUUUUAAAGUGCCAAUUUUAACUUUAAUAUUUGAUGUUUACUUCUCUGGGCACAAGAUCAGCGAAGAGGCUGCACUGCAUUGCUCUAUACUCUAAGACUCCCUCUAGCUCAGGGAAAAAACUAGUAAAAACA